UUUUCAUCUAAAGUUUCAAACCCAUCCCAUUAUUCCAAUUUUUUGGAGAAAAACCGUUCCAUUAGAAACGGUGUACUGCGAUUUUCGAGAUAUGGAGGAUAAAUUGCGGAUAGUUGUGUCUUUCUCAAUUUGGCAAAAAGCAAAUAAAUAAAUAAAUUAUGUGGCCCUUCUUCGUCUUCUUCUCCUUCUUCUUUUUUUUUUUUCUUCCUGGCGUGUCCAUUAUCUUCUCCACAAAAUAAAUGGAGAUAUUCCUUGUCCUUCUUCCAUCUUUGCGCCGCCACAACACAUCCUAGACGCCUCCUCCAACAAAUUGAUUACCAUCAGACUCCUCCAAAAGAUAAGCUAAGCUAAGCUAAGCUAAGCUAAGAGUCCUUCUGAUUUGGAGGAAACAAAUGAUCGAUCGAGCCAAAAGAGACAAGGAAUAGGUCAUCCUGCAAAAGUCUUCAUCAAAGCUCACACGCUAAGGAAGGAGACAAACCUUACCUCUGAUCUUGGUACUUCUAUGAUAACAACAAUGGAAAGCGGUUCAUUUAAUCCACAAUUUCAUGGUCGACGAUUGUAAACAACCAGGGUUUGUGGGGUUCUGUCUGAGAUGUAAUGUUGGAGACUGGAUAUAGAGCUUCAAUUUAUUCAAAGAACAGUGUGGAAAAAUGGAAGCGAGUUUGCAGAGCAGGGAAGAGAGAAGCUCUGACAAACGAGAAAGAAGGAUGAUAUAUAGUUGUUACUUUGAAUGGAAUAUGUCCUCGUUUGUGAAGAUUUUGCUGAUUUGGACAGUACACGUGUUACAAAAUCAUGGGAAUGUGAUCCUAUGUGAUAUAAAAAAUCAUAUAUCAAGUGCAAGUUUCCACGAUAUGAUUGCAAUCAACCAGGUGUUUAUACAUCUGCAAUACCUUGGGUUACUUUACUUGGAUAGUCACAUAUAAGAUAUGCAAAAUGGCCAUUAAAGCAUUGAGAUGGAAACCAUGGAAGUGGACAAAAGUGUUGAAGUUGUCUGUGUACAUGAUAGGACUCGGAGCACUUUUCAUAAUCACUACUCACUGCUACCUCAACACAGUGAAGAGGAGGAUGAAAAGGCACUUAAUGAGGAGCGUGGUCGUACUCAUUUUAAGGUUUGUGGUACUGAGAGCGUACUGGGUACACUUCGUAGCAUGUUUAUACUUUGGUUUAGCCAUGAUUUGGCCAGAUCCUAAAGACACGUGGCUAGGAAGUGUAACAAUGGACAGCAACAAGACUUAUAAUUUCAACAAGGAAGCAGUGUGGAAGAAUUAUGGCAUAUGUUUCUACUAUACCAUGAGCGCAAUUACUACACUUGGUUACGGAGACAUUCAUGCUGUCAACAUAUUGGAGAUGUAUGUCACUCCAAUAAUAUUAUUAAGCAACAUGGUUGUGAUGACAUAUAUAGGAUCACAUUUCAUAGUGCCACUACUGGCUCGUAUAUUUCAGGAUGAAAAUAGUGAGCUGAGAGAGCAGGAUUAGGGAGGAUCGGGGAGGAUUACGAUCGAUCAGAAGCAACAAUAAAGGAAGGAUGCAUAGAUGAUUUGUUCUAUUGAAAUGGAACAAAUAGAACUGAACACUGUUUUGUACAAAGGCUAGACAUUUUUUAUUCAUCAUGUGUGUGAUGAGAAUUGAUGAUUUUUUUAAGGCAUCAGUAUAUGAGGUAGAUUGUAACAUCUAAAUGCUAUGAUUAAUUAUAUAUGAUAUAUGUAAAGAGUCUGAAUAAUAGACUAUUAGAAUUACAUA